rnacentral:lncRNA from 1 species
UCAAAUAAAAAAUCAGAUUGAGUUUCAGAUCUUACCUCUUCUUCUUGUAUCAUGAGACAUAGGUUCACUACUUCUUAUACCUCCUCAUUUGAACUAGACUCCUCACUAUCACUUUAACUGGCCAUCAUUAUCUUUUUCUUCAUUUUGUUGGAGAAUUUCUUCAAUAAGGGAUAAUCUAUUUUGAAGUGUCCUAAUUUUUUGCAUUCAGAAUAGGUAGGUGGCUCCUUAUCUUUAUCAUUCUCUCUUUCUUUACUUGGCUCACCCU